UGGGGAAUCUUGCGCAAUGGGCGAAAGCCUGACGCAGCAACGCCGCGUGGGGGAUGAAGGCUCUCGGGUUGUAAACCCCUUUCAGUAGGGACGAAAUUGACGGUACCUACAGAAGAAGCCCCGGCCAACUACGUGCCAGCAGCCGCGGUAAUACGUAGGGGGCGAGCGUUGUCCGGAAUCAUUGGGCGUAAAGAGCUCGUAGGCGGCUUGGUAAGUCGGGUGUGAAAACCUCAGGCUCAACCUGAGGCGUGCAUCUGAUACUGCCAUGGCUAGAGUCCGGUAGGGGAGUGUGGAAUUCCCGGUGUAGCGGUGAAAUGCGCAGAUAUCGGGAGGAACACCAGUGGCGAAGGCGGCACUCUGGGCCGGAACUGACGCUGAGGAGCGAAAGCGUGGGGAGCGAACAGG
rnacentral:rRNA from 1 species